rnacentral:rRNA from 1 species
GAGCAAAUCUCAAAAAAACAAUCUCAGUUCAGACUGCAGGCUGCAACUCGCCUGCACGAAGUCGGAAUUGCUAGUAAUCGUAGGUCAGCAUACUACGGUGAAUACGUUCCCGGGCCUUGUACACACCGCCCGUCAAACCAUGAGAGUUGGCAACACCCGAAGUCGGUAGUCUAACCGCAAGGAGGACGCCGCCGAAGGUGGGGUUGAUGAUUAGGGUUAAGUCGUAACAAGGUAAC